rnacentral:rRNA from 1 species
AUUGAACGCUGGCGGCAGGCCUAACACAUGCAAGUCGAGCGAGCGGCGGACGCGUGAGUAAUGUAUGGUGAUUGCCCGAUAGAGGGGGCUAACUACCGGAAACGGUAGCUAAUACUGCAUACUAUCGGAUAAUCCAUAUGUGAUUAGCUAGUAGGUGAGGUAAUGGCUAACCUAGGCGACGAUCCCUAGCUGGUCUGAGAGGAUGAUCAGCCACACUGGGACUGAGACACGGCCCAGACUCCUGCGGAGGCAGCAGUGGGGAAUAUUGCACAAUGGGCGCAAGCCUGAUGCAGCCAUGCCGCGUGUAUGAAGAAGGCCCUAGGGUUGUAAAGUACUUUCAGUCGGGAGGCGUUACCGACAGAAGAAGCACCGGCUAACUCCGUGCCAGCAGCCGCGGUAAUUC